UAUUUGCAUAAUGAAAUAUUUCAGAGCUAUUAAAAUAAAACUACUCUAUUGCCUCAUUCAACAUCCUGUGCUGCUCAUCUCUAGCUCAACACAUUCCCUUUCAUUUCUAUCUAUGAUAAUCACUUUCAUUUUUGUGUCUGACAAAAAUAAGUCCCUAUGUGUUCUGAAAGUAGUGCUUCCACAUUAGCUUUUCUGUUUGACAUAUAAAGUAUAAUGAAAUUGUAAUUCCUUGAUGUUGAGAAAUAGGGAACCUAAUGUUAGUCAACAGUUUCAACAUCAAAUCCUACAAAGAUAAGCCAGUCCUACCGUUCUUUCAAUGGAACUACAAUAUUUCAUACUAACUUCUGAUAUACAUAGGACCCUCCAAAAAGGAUGGCAUAGUAUUCAGCAGACAAGUAUUUGUAAGUACUAAAGCUAGUGUCCUAACAAUGCAUUCCGAUGUGCAUAUUAGGGAAGAAACUUGUUUGGACAAAGGACAAUUCAUAUCUCCUACAACUAAAAAGACUAAAAGAUGGACAAACUUUUGGUGCGACAUUCUCUCCUCUAGCUUUCGUCCUGCCUCCUGCGAAGGUCAUCCCACCCGGCUCUCUCUUCCGCCCAAAAAAAGAAACAAAAACGCUCAAUCCUCGCGCCCCGCACCCCGUGCCCCGCUCCCCGUGCUCGCACCCCGACCCAGGCCGCGCGGCACCAACCCUCGCCAGGUCGCGCGGAGCCACGCUCGCUAACCCGCCCCAUGCCGUGCAGCGGCGCCUUCUCCAGAGCCGCACCCGCUGCCACCUGCGGGCGCACCCGCCGCCACCUGCGGGCGCACCCGCCGCGCUCCACGUCCGGCUUCCUGGGCAGCGCAGGCCGCCCCGGCCACACUCCUUCCCUUCCAAGGCCACGCUCUUCACGCGCAGGACUUCAUCGCGCUUUCACCCUCACGCGACCUUUGCCGCAGCGGCAGCGGCGCCGGCUCCUAGCUACCCGAUCUGUCACCGCCAGCCACCGCGUGCUCAGGCAUCUGGCUACCCGAGCCCCGCUCCCCUUCCAUCCUCAGCGGCGCCCCCUCCCACUUCCGGCUCCUCGGCGCCCCACUCAGAUCCUCGACGCAGAGCCCCCCUCAUCCUCGGCGGUGCCCCGCUCCCAUAUCCUCCGCAUCGCCCACUCCCGGAUCCGGCUCCUCGGCGCAGAGGCCCACGGCGACGCCAGCGGCAGCGCCAGCGGCGGCGCCGAAGCCAACGGCGACGCUAACGAUUCCGGCGCGAAGGCGGCGGCGGCGGAGUCGGAGGAGUCUGAGUCGGAGGACGCGGACGCCGCAAAGCAGGAGUACGUGCUCGGACGCUCGCCAACCGUCCCCGUUGUUUGCUUGCUUUGCCGCUCUCCUUUCCCCGUCAUCGUGGUUUCCUUCCUGAUGCGUGCUCCAGAUGUGCCGUAUCUCCUCGGAGCCCCGCUCCCGUAUCUGCUCGGAGCCCCGCUCCCAAAUCCUCCUCGGCGACCCCUCCCAGAUCCUCCUCGACGCCCGCCCGAGCCCGACGUAUGCGAGCCACCGCGCGUGGUCCUCGCGAUCCCGCGGUGGCUCGCGAUCCCGAAGCGCUCCAGCCGGGCCGCAGUCGUGCUCCUGCCGAGGCCGCGGCCGCUCCGACUGCGAGCAGCCAGCGCGAAGCCGAGCCGCCGUCUGUGCGCGGGGCCACCUCCGUGCUGCGUGCACGCGCGGGGCCGAGGCCGGUCGAGCGCACGUGGUCCCCAGCGCGAGGCCGGGCCGACCCGCACCCACCCGCGCCGAGCAGGCCGCGGGGUGUGCCUUCGGGCGGCCACCGCCUGGGCGAGCGCUCGCGAGCUCCGAGCUCCUCCGUGCCGCGCGCGGGGUCGAGCCGAGCGGCUCGCGACAGGUUCAAUCAACCCCGUCCAGCUGGCCUCCACACGACAGGUUCCUCCGUGCCGCUGGCCUCCACACGACAGGUUCCUCCGUGCCCCGAGCCUCCACGACGGGGUCAGGGGCCAGAGAUCGGACCUCAUCAGUUGGGGCAGCGAAGAGGGUGUUCGAUCUGAGGCAUGUCACGGCCGUGGAGGUGCCGCGCUUCGAGCUCGACGAGGACCCCGCGUUCUGGAAGGAUCACAAUGUGCAGGUGCGUGGUUUCACAUUUGACAUUAGCUCAGGUGCGAUGGUCGAUGAGCUUAUUGUGCAUACAGACCUGCUGAAUAUUAUCCUGCUGCUAUCUCAGUUCACCACAUACUUCCCUUUGCAGGUAAGCAGAUAUACUGUUUAUUUGUCGAAGGCGUGUUGGAUAUAGUCUGAUCUAAUCCUUCUCGGGGCAGACUGAAUACCCUACGCCCAUUUGGUCCAAAAUUUAGGGACGAUUCUCUUCUUGAUUUGUUUAACCAUUGUUGAAUAAUUUAUUUUCUUAUAUUUUUUUGCAUCUCUUGUGCAAAGAGAUCCCCUAUAGAUUCAACCAUCUUGCAGAAAUAAAAAAAUAUGAAUUCUUGUUAGCUGUGUUUGAAGAGCAGAUACGUAGGAGCUUUCCUUUCUUAAUGCAGAGGAAUCGAGUGGGAGGGAGUCGGGGCCGAGGCGUCCUGGCGGUCGCGACCUCGUUCUUGCGCGCCGAGGGUGGAGGGGUGAGUGAUGAGUUUGAUCUGAGCGUUCCUGGCCGCAAGAUGAUGUUAGAGUUAAUCUCCCCCCUUAAUUUUGUAAAUUAGACAUUACUGUAUGCAAUUAGUUGGGUGUACUUAGAUUAGGCAAUGACUGUGGGGUGUAGUUUGCUGUGUGGAUUUAGGAAAGUUUUAAGUGGUGCAUUAUAUAGUAGUGGAGAUGUGCUUCAUCAUUCUCAGGUUGAACACUAUAUAUUUGGACUUAUGCUUGCCUAUUAAUUUUAAAAAUGCAAAGACUUGUUUCAA